ensembl:lncRNA
AUUUGGGUAUUUCAACUUUGGGUAUUUCAACUGGCAUUGGCCCCAGUGCUAACAAUUAUGCUUUGUCUGUCUCUAGUGCAAGGAGACCCCAGUUAAUGAGAACCUGAUCUGUUCUGGAGUCGUCGGGUAGGUGGAUUACCGUUCUGUCCGGAGCCGCGUUUAAAUGUGUCAAGUUUGUUAAAAACAUGCCACUAAAGUGACAGUCAUUUCCUUUUUUGUCCCACACAGACUACCACUCCAACAAAUUGAAAAUUCCUCUCAAGCCCUGUGCAACUUCACCAUCACGCAGUAUGCCUGCUCCUCGGUAAGACUGCUAUAUGUCACUGGUGAACCCCAGGAAGAGAUGUGAAUUUUGUUAUGUUACCAUCCAGACGCAAAUCUCCACGAGCUCUGAGACUCUUUCAUUUAUGUCUUGCCCAUUUUUUUCCAAGGCUACGAAUCUCACAGCCCACAGCUUGGCGACACUGAUGAAAUGCUCGCUGGAAGGCCAAACCACAUACCCGGUAGAGGUCUGGAAGCUUUUCUUCCAGAAAGUUUCGUCUGUGCUAGAUGAGGCCCUCGUGUCAUUUGCCACCAUGGCCCCCAACAUCAGCAGCCCAUCCUUGUCACAGGCUCUCGAGGCCCUUGGUGAGGUGAAAAUCAACAACUUCAGCCAGACACAGUUGCACACUGAUGCCUUUGUCAGCAGCUGGUUCCAGACAAAGGCCCGUCCAUUUUUGGCCUCUUCAUCGCCCAACUUCCUGUUCUGCCUCAGCACCAAGAACCUCAGCUGCCAAACAUACCAGAUUGUAAUCCAGGCAUUCAGCAGCCAACAACUAUUGAUGGACAGCAACACACAGCAAGCAGUCUUCACUUACUUCAUUGAACCAUUCCUUUCGAGAAAUGACUCAUCAGAUCCUGGCUGUGUCUCCUCUGUCACAAGUAGUUCACAGUGGAUACAUGCAUUCCUUGGUGGCUUCUCUGGUUUUGCAACCCUGCAGCAAUUGCACGCCCUCAAUCCCAACUUCUCCAGUGUGGAUUCGUUGUCAGUGCUCACUCCUGCUCAGGUUGCAGAGCUGACUAUUGUUUCGGGGGCCUUGAAUGACACGCACCUAAUGUAUAGUGUAUUUGACCGUCUUGAGGAGGGCAACGCUAUGGAAAAUGUCGACCAAUUCCUGACAAAGCUGACAGCCGACGGACAGAUCCCAGUCUUCCAACCUGCUGUGAGGGAUCUGGCAAUGAAUAGGACCUUUACCAUCAUCAGUACCUAUUUCCCGGACUUCAGCUACAGUGACUGGAUUGUGUGGUUCCAUGUGAAACUGGUUCCUCUCCUCCCAAGUUUCAGUCCAACCAUGCUCAUGACUGUAACGUCAAGCACAAACUGCACAACCUACCGUGUCGUUGUGAGUGGCUUGGCCGUGGUUUUCCCUGAAAUACCAUUGCAAACAGCACAAGAGAUCACAGCUGUUUUGCUGGGAUACCUGAAGAAAUCAGUCGCUGUCAUCGGUGAGCCAGGUAAGGAACAAGUAUAUACAAGUGAAUGAAAGUAGAGUUUUUGCCCAAGAUAAAUACAUGAAAAUGAAGAA